UGACCGAUCCUUUUCACUCUGAAUGAUUUU
rnacentral:piRNA from 1 species